CACGUAGGGCGCGAGCGCUGUCCGGAAUUAUUGGGCGUAAAGAGCUCGUAGGCGGCCUGUUGCGUCCGCUGUGAAAGCCCGGGGCUUAACCCCGGGUCUGCAGUGGAUACGGGCAGGCUAGAGGUAGGUAGGGGAGAAUGGAAUUCCCGGUGUAGCGGUGAAAUGCGCAGAUAUCGGGAGGAACACCGGUGGCGAAGGCGGUUCUCUGGGCCUUACCUGACGCUGAGGAGCGAAAGCGUGGGGAGCGAACAGG
rnacentral:rRNA from 1 species